UGGUGGCGGGGUUCUGGCGGUGGUUCAAUAUCACCAGGAUUAGCGUAGCUAUGUGGUACGGAUGGUGCUGGUAGUGAUGGUGUUCGUAGUAGAUCCAAAGCAGCAUAUUUCUGGCUUAGAUUUUGAUCCUUCCAAAUAUGCUCCUAAGUUUAGAGAUUAACGAAGUUAUUAGAAUGUCAAAGUGGUCUUACAUGGAGGUGGUAAUAAACAGUUUAAACUCCAAGGAUUCGGUUGAUAUUGGUCCAAUCUCCGCAUUAGUGUUUCAAUUUCAGACGCCCAGGUGCUGAUAAAAUUUACAAUGUUUUCAACAAUCAACUUCCUGUAGCUCUGAAAAUAUUGAAAUUUGAUAAGCAACUCGCGAUGGAGAACGUGUGAAAGAUAAUUACUGAAGCAGAUGGUUACCAAUCACAUCUUAUCGCCCCUGAACAAGGAUAUCAUUGUCUCAUUGAAUCUUCGUUAAUUACUAUUAGAGGUCAUGCAAAGGUAGCAGUUGAUGCAGUAGGCAUUACUUUAACUCACUGCCUAUAUUCCAUGUUAAACAUAGUUGUGCACACUACUGUAAAUUAACAUUUUUAAAAAAUAAAAAUUAUA